AUGGGAGUGGGAAGGGAUAGGGUCGAAUGGACCCUCACUGGUGAUAAAAACUUCUCUACUAAAUCUUUAUAUAGGAAGCUGGUAACUGAUGAAUACACUUAUCCACAGAAAUUCUUAUGGAAAGUGAAAAUACCUGCUAAGAUCAAGGUGUUUCUAUGGCUAGUAAAUAAGAGGAGCAUCCUAACUAAAGAUUCUCUAAUUAAAAGAGGAUGGGUUGGGUCGAAUCUUUGUGUUAUGUGUGGUAGAGAAGAAACAAUAGAUCAUCUGUUUUUUACAUGUACAACUGCUUCUUUGUUAUGGAGUAUAUUGAAGUGUUCUUUCAAUCUAAAAUCUAUCCCUAAUAAUUUUGAGGAGUGUUUUGGGGGAUGGGUUAAGACAUUCGUUAAGCAGGAAAGGAAAUUGGUGCUGGUGGGGAUUUCAGCUAUGUUGUGGGCGAUCUGGAAAACAGAAAUGCAAUUAUUUUUGAUGAUAAGAAAUACACUAACCCAAUGA
rnacentral:rRNA from 1 species